CCUACGGGUGGCAGCAGUGGGGAAUAUUGGGCAAUGGGCGCAAGCCUGACCCAGCAACGCCGCGUGAAGGAAGAAGGCUUUCGGGUUGUAAACUUCUUUUAAGGGGGAAGAGCAGAAGACGGGACACCUUGAAUAAGCCACGGCUAACUACGUGCCAGCAGCCGCGGUAAUACGUCGGUGGCAAGCGUUGUCCGGAUUUACUGGGUGUAAAGGGCGUGCAGCCGGAGAGACAAGGCAGCUGUGAAAUCCACGGGCUCAACCCGUGAACUGCAUUUGAAACUGUUUCCCUUGAGUGUCGGAGAGGUCAUCGGAAUUCCUUGUGUAGCGGUGCACUGCGUAGAUAUACGGAAGAACCCCCGUGGCGAAGGCGGAUUCCUGGACGAUAACUGCCGGUGAGGCGCGAAAGCGUGGGGAGCAAACCGGAUUAGAUACCCUUGUAGUC
rnacentral:rRNA from 1 species